GACGAACGCUGGCGGCGUGCUUAACACAUGCAAGUCGAACGGAAAGGCCCUGCGUGUGUGGUGUGCUCGAGUGGCGAACGGGUGAGUAACACGUGAGUAACCUGCCCUUGACUUUGGGAUAACUUCAGGAAACUGGGGCUAAUACCGGAUAGGAGCUCCUGCUGGAUGGUGGGGGUUGGAAAGUUGCGGCGGUUGGGGAUGGACUCGCGGCUUAUCAGCUUGUUGGUGGGGUAGUGGCUGACCAAGGCUUUGACCGGUAGCCGGCCUGAGAGGGUGACCGGCCACAUUGGGACUGAGAUACGGCGCAGACUGCAACGGGAGGCAGCAGUGGGGAAUCUUGCCCAAUGGGCGGAAGCCUGAUGCAGAAACGCCGCGUGCGGGAUGACGGCCUUCGGGUUGUAAACAGCUUUAGCCUGUGACGCAGCGUGAGUGACGGUAAUGGGUAAAGAAGCACCGGCUAACUACGUG
rnacentral:rRNA from 1 species